UCUGGAGGAUCAAGAAGUGGAAUCUGGUGAAGCAAGGCUUGGCUGAUACAAUGCUCCUAGAAAAAGGGUCAGAGAAAGCAGCUCUAACUUGAGUUUCUCACAGGGCUGACUCUGUUUUCAUAGCAGAU